rnacentral:misc_RNA from 1 species
AAGGUGCAAACCAGGCGAGAGGAAUAGGUUAGACAGAGGUGUAACGGUCAGAGGAGAACACUGGAAGAAGAUUUGGCCAGAACAAGUUGCCGGAAGCGGGCCCAUGCACUGGCACGUGGAAGACUGUUGAGAUCUUGUAUUGGUGUGCGAGGCCACGCGCUUCGCCGGACGGUGACGAGUCUUUGGUGACAAACCCAUCAGAGGGUGGCUUCCUCCUAGGGUAGGCGAUGACAACUCAAUCUCUUUUUACAGGUCAUUUAGAAGCUUACCCACUUAGAAAAUCUAGUUCCUUUCAAAAGCAAAUCACACCACUAAAG